rnacentral:tRNA from 1 species
GGGGGUGUAGCUCAGUGGUAGAGCACUCUCCUACCAUGCAGAGACCCUGGGUUUGAUACCUAGCACACACA